UCCGUCGACUUUAAAAAUCGUGAG
rnacentral:tRNA from 17 species